CAAAUCCAACGUCUCUCUGAGACACCGUUGAAAUAUAGUGGAUCGGGCCUGAGGAAAGGGGGAAACCUCACAUAUCCUUGUCCGAUCUGCGAAAACUCACUAGAAACUGUUGAUCAUUUGUAUGCUUCUAACAAAGAAA
rnacentral:misc_RNA from 1 species